UGAAAAGUAAUAAUAAUAUUUUUUCCAUUUUUCUCUAUUUUUAUUUGUGGUUUUAAAGCAUUGACACCUCUAGAGAAGAUGGUUCCUUCGGCCGCUUGGUGAACGCUCACCACAGACAUCCCAAUUGCAGGAUGAAGAGAAUAGACAUUGCAGGAAGCACACACCUCUGUCUUUUUGCUCUCAAAGACAUAAAAGAAGAUGACUACAUGUGCACCUGACACGCCCUGUGUGAGCUCCCAGCCUGUGCUCAUGUCAGAGCCACAGUGGGAUGAAGCUGCCUGGUUAGAGGACACUGGUCAACAGAUGACUACAUGUGAACCUGACACGCCCUGUGUGAGCUCCCAGUCUGUGCUCAUGUCAGAGCCACAAUGGGAUGAAGCUGCCUGGUUAGAGGACACUGGUCAACAGAUGACUACAUGUGAACCUGACACACACUGUGUGAGCUCCCAGCCUGUGCUCAUGUCACAGCCAAAGUGGGAUGAAUCAGCCUGGUUAGAGGACACUGGUCACCAGAAGAGGAAACUGUUGGAGGCACGGAGGGGAAUAAAAUCCCAGCAAAACAGAGAUGCAAACUGCCACCAGCAGAAGAUGGAGCAUCUUCUACAGUCUGUGCUGAAAGGCUCCACUCAAAAGGAAACCAUGGCAGCCAGCAGAGAUAAAGGCCGUCGAGAGGCACAUAAAGGCAUUAAUACAUGCCUGCACUGUGCCAAAAAUGUCUUAACUAAACAAAAUCUGUAGGUGGCGAAGAAGUUAAAGCUGCGUCAUGCUUUGAACUAAACACUUUUUAUAUCUGGUGCCAUCAAAGUA
ensembl:lncRNA